UGCAAGUGUAUCAUUCAUCAUUCUCAUAAACAUUCUUUCAGAAGAUAUUCACAAACCCAGACCAAAAACUACAUUCUAAUUACCUUGCGGUAGGGAGGCAACCAUUAGACAAGUCAGGGGUCUCAAUUUCAAGGAAGCUUUAUGAUCUCUUGCAUCCUCGGCCUGCACGCCCCGUGUUGUUCAACGCAUUGCAUCGCGAUUUCAGCAACCCUCCAAAUCGAUUCCAUUUUCACGUUCCCUACUAAACAAGGAUCCAUGAUACUCAUCACAUCGCCUUUGCGUAUUAAGGAUCUUGCCUGCAAUCCAAUUCAACGACGUUUAGUGUUCCCGCUGAUUUUGCUGAACUGAAUCUUACACUGUCAUGAUUUUUCGUGCAUUCUAUACACUCUUUAUGAAUAAGCCGAAUGAUUCACUGUAAAUUCUACAUUUUAUACUGAUAUAUUGAAAAUAAUGAGACUGGCAAUUAUGGUGUUUUGGCAUGAUUUUCCAAACAUACCCAGUGAACAAUAUUCAUUUCGGCACCGUAAUCUUCUGAUGACACAGGCUUUCUUCCGGCGAUCAGUUCAAAAAGUACAACUCCAAAGCUGUAUACGUCACUCUUCUCUGUCAAUUGCUGAGUCGCAUAGUACCUGUUGGACAAAUUUACCGACUGAGCUUAGCACGUGAAGGAGAAGAACAAUAUGAUGAUCACGGACAACACAGGACCAGACCCAUAAUUACUUACUCAGGAUCCAAGAGAAUAUUGCUGGUCUUCACGUCUCGGUGUAUGAUACUCGGAUUGCAUCCUGUAUUCCAGGAUUACCAUCAUAGCUGGAAGAGAAAACAAGUUGACCAUUACUUUCUACGGUUUCUAACAUUGAUGAAAUAAGAUUACUACAUACAGUGCUUCUAAGCUUGGCAAACUACCCAGGUAAGAAGGUUAGAAGUCAAUAUUCUUAUGUGUUCUAAGAAAUGCUAUGGAAUGUCUGAUUAGUGCAGCGGCAAUGAUACUGACAUGAAAUAGACUUGACAAUGAAAAAGUAGGGAGUAAUUACAUUUUUGUGAUUCUUGGAAGCGUGGCAGCACUACAAUUUACCCACUCCCAGGGAGUUGGAACACAAGGAUCACCUUCGUUCUUCUGGACACUUUCUACGGACAUGGAGGAAAAUUCAUUUACAACAGUCACUGAAAAACGAUGAAAAGUCUUUAAAGCAAUCCGUUGGUAUUUGCUUAUUUCCAUUGCAUUCAGAAGUGGCCCUCGAGUAGAAUCCCGGGUCUUAACAAAGGAGAAUGACAGAACAAAAUCCAGAGUCACAUUCAUGUAACUAGGCUCAUAAAGAGUGCAGCUUCCAUUGGCAUUCUCAGCAAUGUUAACCACUGCAUUGCUAUAGUCAGGAAUAAAGGGUUGCUCCAAUUUGAAUUUUCGGGUCUCAUUCUUACCCAGAUCUUCAAUCUCUGCGAAAAAUGCAUAAGCUCGAGCAUUGGCAGGGAAGUCUUCCAGAUUAAUUCUGUAGCUGAGUAACCCUUUUGUGCCAACAACUGCAGUUUGCAUAACUUUAACAGGUCCAAUUUUAAAAUUCUUCGAGCAGAUAUAGAAUAUCUAAACCUGAUAGCAUCCUCACUAGAAGCACCAAAAUUGAUUCUUGCAGCAACUUUUAAGAAGAAAUCGUCUUCAAAAUCCGUAGCAUACAUAGAUUGAUUCAAGGGCCUUAGCUCUAGAGUUGAAAUGAAUGGUGAACCAGUGGUAGCACAACACAUGCACACAUCAAUAGAGUUUGAAGGUGCCCUGAUAAUCAUUUCCUUCACAUAAAUUCUUGAGGCAUCGUAUAUUGACACAGUAGCCCAUUUGGUUGCAUCCAAGUAGAGCUGAAACUGAGGGUAUGUGUCUCCACUUUUCAAAUUUCCAUACUGAAACGUUGCUCGCACCAGGUAUCUUCUUCUCUCCUCGGUGUUUAGCGUGUAACAGUAUUUCCUGUUGUCUAUGGGAAAGUCUCUGCGUUUCUGAUACUGUAUCCUGUUUCCAUUCGGACCUUCUACUUCCACUGGAGUGCCAUGGUUCAUAAUCCCAUAGUCUGAAAUCCAUGCCAACCCUGUGCUUUUAUCAGUGUAAUUACCACUUCCUCCACAGUCUAUGCUGAUGAACUCUGCAUAAAAUCCAAUUAUUGCACAGAUUUAAAA